GACGUAGGGUCCGAGCGUUGUCCGGAGUUACUGGGCGUAAAGGGCGCGUAGGCGGUUCCAUGCGUCACACGUGAAAGCCCCCGGCUCAACCGGGGAGAGUCGUCGGGGACGGGGUGAGCUUGAGGGUAUCGAGGGGCUGGUGGAAUUCCCGGUGUAGUGGUGAAAUGCGUAGAUAUCGGGAGGAACACCCGUGGCGAAGGCGGCCAGCUGGGAUACACCUGACGCUGAGACACGAAGGCGUGGGGAGCGAACGGG
rnacentral:rRNA from 1 species